GCGGAUAUCGAAUGGUAAAAUUUCUCUUUGCCAAGGAGAAGAUGCGGGUUCGAUUCCCGCUAUCCGCC
rnacentral:tRNA from 1 species